CCUACGGGAGGCAGCAGUGAGGAAUUUUGCGCAAUGGGCGAAAGCCUGAUCUAGCAACGCCGCGUGGACGAUGAAGGCCUUCGGGUCGUAAAGUCCUUUUCUGUGGGAAGAUCGUGACGGUACCACAGGAAUAAGCAUCGGCUAACUACGUGCCAGCAGCCGCGGUAAUACGUAGGAUGCAAGCGUUGUCCGGAUUUAUUGGGCGUAAAGAGUGCGUAGGCGGCUUCUUAAGUGGGGCGUGAAAUCCCCCGGCUAAACCGGGGAGGGUCGUCCUAAACUGGGGGGCUGGAGGGUAGAAGAAGAGAGCGGAAUUCCCGGUGUAGGGGUAAAAUGCGUAGAUAUCGGGAGGAACACCUGUGGCGAAGGCGGCUCUCGGAAUUGCGACUGACGCUGAGGCGCGAAAGCUAGGGGAGCAAACAGGAUUAGAUCCCCUAGUAGU
rnacentral:rRNA from 1 species